rnacentral:misc_RNA from 1 species
GUUGUUGAUUUUGUGUUUUUGUUAUUUCUUCAAUGAAAUAAUUGAGAAAUUAACAUGGCAUAGAAUAGAAUAGUGGCAUGGAGAGAGAAGAAUUUAGUACAGGUUGUGAAUCAUGUUGGUUUUAGGUCCAUUUAUAGCCCAAGUGUGAUGAACUUUUAAUUUUCAGCUUAUUGAGAAACAGGAAACAUGAACCAGCAAAUAUGAUUAAAUAGUUUCUGAUUGCUCGGCUCAUUGGUACUAGAUCAACCAUAUCUAGUCUCUCUUUUAUCACUGCUCUUAUUGUUUAUUAAACCCAAGAUUUAAACCUC